rnacentral:lncRNA from 1 species
GGAGGCCCUUUCCAUAUUCCGCUUCAUUCUCCCCUCCUGGCGUGCCUCAAGGAACGACCACUGUCCCCAGGUUACAGGUGCUUCUUCACCCCAACAAGGCUCAAUCAAGUGUGUUCUUCUCUGGGAAGCUGCAGACAUCUGACCCCAGGCCACAGAGUCAUACCCAGUCUGGCUCCCACAGCCCUCCCAGGCUGUCUGGUGUCAGUGCAGUGCUGUGGAUGGGAACACACCUCUACCAUGUUGAGCUGCUCUGAGGUUUAAAUGCGUUACUGCUAAUUGGGAUCUUGGAACAACUCCUGGUGCAUGGACACACACAGGACAGACUGGAAUAAAUACUGGUGGUUUAUCACAGGAAGGCUGGCCUCAGCUUGGGAGAGUAAGCGUGCAUGCAUACACAGCCAGCUGAUUUAUUGUGA